rnacentral:rRNA from 1 species
AGAGAGAGACAUGCGCGCAUAUCAAUAAGCGGAGGAAAAGAAACUAACAAGGAUUCCCCUAGUAACGGCGAGUGAAGCGGGAAGAGCUCAAAUUUGAAAUCUUAAAGGGUUUCCCUUUACGAAUUGUAGUUUAAAGAAGUGUUUUCUGUUGAGGUUUUGGUAAAAGUUCUUUGGAAUAGGACAUCAUAGAGGGUGAGAAUCCCGUAUUUGACCAUUACUUUCCAACUUUGUGAUACACUUUCAAAGAGUCGGAUUGUUUGGGAAUGCAGUCCAAAAUGGGUGGUAAAUUUCAUCUAAAGCUAAAUAUUGGCGAGAGACCGAUAGCGAACAAGUACCGUGAGGGAAAGAUGAAAAGAACUUUGAAAAGAGAGUUAAACAGUACGUGAAAUUGUCAAAAGGGAAGCGUUUGACACCAGUGUUGUUUUUCUGAAAAUCAAUUAAAGAACUGUUUAUGCUAAGUUGUUUAGACUUUAUCAGCUAUCUGUUUAGUUUUGAGCUUUUCUUUAAUGCACUUUUCAGUUAACAAGUCAACAUCAAUUUCUUUUGCUGUAAAAAAGCUUGAGGAAGGUGGCUUGAGAUUCGUCUUAAGUGUUUAUAGCCUCUUGCCUAUGCAGUCGGAGAGAUUGAGGUCUGCAGCGUAGAUCCUUCGGGGCUAAAUGCAUUUGUGCUAAGUUAUAGCAUUUUAUAGACAACUUGUUGACUAUGAUUUGUCUUGUAGCUUACUCGCUUAUGUUAUUUUACCUACGCUUAGGAUGUUGAGCGCAUGUCUCUCUCU